CGUGUCUUGUCUUGUUUUUUAAACAGCGAGCUUCCAGUAAAGUGCAAAAUCAACGCUUGAAUUCACGCGGAAUAAAAGGAGUUAAGUGAAAAGCCCCGAGCUCGGAGACACCAGCUGGGUCUGUGAAAGGAUUACAAAGCAAACAGUGAAGCAGCAGCACAUGGUAUUUUGGGAUUUUGACUUCCUCAACUCGGGAGGGUUAAGGAUCUUUGCAAGGCAAAACCUUUCUACCUGGAAGACUCUGAAGGAGUUACAUGCAUACAGACUUAUAGAAUUCAUCAUCAUUCAUUGCAUACAGCUUUCUACAGGAAACUGGGCUGCGAGUCCUGACUAACAUACACAUUAUUCUAUUCUAAAAGACUUUGCUCAAUUUUAUUACUACUGUUUAUGAGGAGGAGGUAGAGUCUUCAGGGUUGUUUGGAAUGUUCAGUCUUUUUUAAUGUAGGUUUACAAGAACUUUUUCGUAUGUAUGGUUUCAUUCAGAUUAAUUUUUUACUCAUUUUUAGCUGAAGCAACUUUAUCAUCCUUUAAAAAGUUCACGAAAAUACACAAUGAAGACAUUCAGUGUAAUACAAGGAUCAUAUUUUGUAGGUCUGAAAUAUUUCUGCACUGGAUACUUUCUGGUAAAGGAUGCUAGCAACUGAGGUUUUGAUACAUAAAGAACCCAUCGAACAUCAUGAAAAAAUAUUUUGAUUGUUUUUACCUUAUUUAAUGCAUCUUGGUGCUGGCCAGCAGUUAUCUUCUUUGCUAAACCACUUGAAAAUUGCUCCAGAGUUUUCAGGAGUAUGAUUAGAAACAUUCGGGUGAUCAGUUCUGCUUGUGACUAUAGGGGAAUACCAUUCAGAAGAAAAUAGAUGGGGAAAACCCACCAGUAAAAGUCAAAUGGGCAAUAUAAUAUCCGUUAUAUACUUCUGUAAUUACAUAUUACUUGUGUGGGUUUUUUAUCCUCUAGCAUCCCUGAAUUUGUUAGAUAUCUCCUACCUUGUACAUAAAGACAGGUAUAUAUACAUGCUGCUUUCCA